UCGGCCUGCAAAGGGCCGCCGCGACCAGGGCGGCUUCGGCCCGAAGAGCCGCGCUUCGCGCGCCUCGCACACCGCUCCGGGCCAUCGGCUGGGCCGCCCGCCCCGGCAGGAGCCGCAGCGGGCUGACGGCGCACAAAGGGAGCGGGGAAAGAGCCGAAAGGGGCCGAGCUUCCCCGAAGGUUACUGCCGGUCAGCCCACGGCCCCCGCAGCACGUCGGCUGCGUGUGCACAACAGCCCACAGCUCCUGACCGCGGCGGGGCCAAUCCGCGGCGCGCCGCCCUUGGCUGACUGCGCCCGGCCCAAUCCGCGCCCCGGCACCGCUGCCUCCUCGCCCGGGCAGCUGCCGCCGCGGGCCGCGCGGCCUCCCCCCCGCGCUCGGGCGCCGGGCCCACGGGGCGACGCCGGGCCCGCCGGGCCCCCAGCCCCUCGCCCCGCAGGCGGCAGCGGGACGUCGCUCUCGCCGGCCUCCCCGAAGAAGUCCCGCCUGACGUUGUCCCCGGUGCCGCCCCGCCGAGCAAGGGGACGACAGAGCAGGACACCCGGGAAGGGACGAACGUCCCCUCCCCCGGGGGCGGCUGCCCCCUUCCCCCGCCCGCUACCGUGCCCGCCCUUCCCGUGCGGGCGUCCCUUCGGUCCAGCGCAGCCACCACGGCGGUGCUUGCCCUUAACCGUCAGACGCUGGAGUCACGGGAGCUGUGAGCAUCGUGGCUUCCAUUCAAAAAGGAACUUCGAGGAGGUGGUAAACUUCUGGAAUUUGUUCGAUGGGAAGUCAUGGAGGCAGACAGCACCAGCACGAUCACGAAGAAACUGGAGAGACUCACAGGCAACAAGGUCCAUCAGCAGAGGCUAAAGACAGAGAUGUGCCCUUAGACAUGUGCAAGUUUUCAAGGAUGAGAGAAGACAGACAGCAGCCAGGUUUGCGAGCUCUCCCCAAAUAGCCUCUCUGGUUGCCACUGAUGGAGACAAAAUAACAGACAAGAUGGACCAUUGGUGUGACACGGUAAAAUAUUUCUUCUGGAAAACUUCACACCACUCCCACGGGGGUACAGCAGGCUAACGAAUUAUUGCCAGGAGUUAUCCUGCUCUAAAUUCUCCUCCGAUCUUCAUUCUAAUCACAGUAUGGGGAUACAGAGGGCUGCAGUCACAACUCCAGAAUCCCACCUGUGUUUUGAAGAAAACACUCCUAUUUUUCCCAUAUUGUUCAUUUUAGAUCUUCUAAUUCAUUUUUAUUACUACAAGUUUCUGAGAAGCCCAGCUGCCAAUUUAUGAAGAUCUCUGCUAGCAGAGCAUGCAAUACAUACCGAAUCUUUGAGAAUGAAGCUCAUAACUCAGUUUGCCACUCCUGACUAAUGAGCCCAUCUUAAACUCAUAAAUGCAUGAAUAUGUUCUUUGGACUAAUGACCACAUAACAUGCUGGGAUUGACGUGGUGGAAGAUACUGCAGACACAUGGGAGUUUUCAGGAAAUAUCAAGGCUCUUUAGAACCACUGCUAACAAUGCACUAGCUUUGUUUUAAUGUCUGCGUAGGAUUUAUUUUCUGUGUUUGAGAUUUUUCUUUGUCUCUAGUCUCUCCAAUUCCAAUUAAGCUGAGUCACGUGCAGGCAGUGCAUGAGGACUUGUAUUAGAGGAGCAUCAAAAAAUGAAAAUUCUUGUUUCAGAGAAAGUACCUGUUUCAGUACUGGUUUUCAUUUGCAUUCAGGACAUAGCCUGAAUGUGAAAAAAAUGAAGGAAAAAAUCCUCAAUCUUUUUUGAUUCAUCUGGAGACAAAGAGCUAGGAUCUUUCAGACUUCUUGUCUGGCUGUUUGUUCUUGAGGUAGUUUUCUCCUUCAGCUUCCCUUCUUUUCAAUUUUUACUCCUUCUAUCAUAAUAUAUAUAAUUGGCAUCUUUGCACACAAAUAUAGCUGAAAAGUCCUUCCAAGCAAGAGCUAAAAACAUUUCAUUUUAAAAAUACCCAAACCAGAACAUUUGAACAUGGCCAGAGUUUUUUUUCCUUUUUUCUCUUCCCAGAUGAUAUUUAUGGCAACACCAACAUGGUUUCAGAAGGCAUUUCACUUCUGAUCCAACUACAUUAUCUGCUGGCAAGGAGUCCCCUCAGUGGAAUUUAGCUGGUCAGGAGGAUGAUGCAGUUCUCAUACCCCUUGGGCUGGGCCAGCCUAUGGUCUGAGUCACUAGGAAUUAAUUCAUCUGGUUCCCCACUCUGCUAUUGGCUUCUUACAUGAGACUGGGCAAGUCACCUAAUCCCAGGUUUUUAUCCAGGAAUUGUCACGGAUGUUGCUUUCCUCCUUCCCAAUUUGUCUGUCAUGCUCUUUGGAGUAGACUUCACCUUCCACACCUAGCAUAGGGAAGUCUGAGUUUGGUUAAGGAUGUUAUGAUAACCCGAAUGACCAUAGGAGAAAGCAUCUGUUAUCUUCUCUAUUUGGAAUUCAACUAUUCCUGUUCCUGUGAGGUUGCCAAGGCAGGCCUGAAGGGCCUUCAGCCACCUCUUAGCCUUUGAGGAAAACUAGAGCAGGAUAGUAUUCCCCCUCCUUUUUUUUUUUUUUGCUGCAGAAACUCUUGACAGAGCCACAUUCCUGUGCAACAAGAAGGAACUGCAAUAAGCACUGAAACUAAAGCACCCUUUCCCAGGAUACACAUACACGGUUUUUUCUCUCGAGAGACUUAAAUCAGUUCUAGUUGUACGUGUAAAUAUUUAAUGUUUUUGAAUGAUUGAUGGGUUGAGAUAGAUCUCCUAAUGCCUGGUUUAUUCUAUGCCUGCAUCCUCAUCUGGAUGUCGUAAGCUAACAGAACAGCACAGCCUGGUAAUAAAAGUCUCUGCCAUGGGAA